rnacentral:lncRNA from 1 species
UGCACUUCCAUGCUGCACACUUUCUGAAUGGGAAGAGAAGAGGAAGAAGAUGGUGCAGGCACAGGUGAGCCCUUGAGUAAGGCCGCCAGGGGUCCACGAAAGUCCCUCUCUCCUGGUUGGCAAGGACCUUCUGCUUCCCAGCCAACACUGUUGCCAGGUGUGGCCAGCUGAGACUGAGAUACAAGUGGUGUCAUCAGAGCCUGAGGACCCUGGUGAGUUCUUUGGGAUCUCUUUUUCAUGAGCUGGACAGAAGGGCCUGCGCCUGAGGUUUGACGAGGCCAUUGAGAAGAAACCCCUAAGAGAGGGAAAGGCAAUGGCAUGAAAGGAAACAGUCCUCCACUGAGCAGGUAGAGCAGACUGACUGCACCAGGCUGCGCCCUCCGACUGUGAUGUGGUGGAUGUGAGAAUAAACUGGUUUCUA